GACGAACGCUGGCGGUGUGCUUAACACAUGCAAGUCGAACGGAAAGGCCCUGCUUUUGUGGGGUGCUCGAGUGGCGAACGGGUGAGUAACACGUGAGUAACCUGCCCUUGACUUUGGGAUAACUUCAGGAAACUGGGGCUAAUACCGGAUAGGAGCUCCUGCUGCAUGGGGGGGGUUGGAAAGUUUCGGCGGUUGGGGAUGGACUCGCGGCUUAUCAGCUUGUUGGUGGGGUAGUGGCUUACCAAGGCUUUGACGGGUAGCCGGCCUGAGAGGGUGACCGGCCACAUUGGGACUGAGAUACGGCCCAGACUCCUACGGGAGGCAGCAGUGGGGAAUAUUGCACAAUGGGCGGAAGCCUGAUGCAGCAACGCCGCGUGCGGGAUGACGGCCUUCGGGUUGUAAACCGCUUUCGCCUGUGACGAAGCGUGAGUGACGGUAAUGGGUAAAGAAGCACCGGCUAACUACGUG
rnacentral:rRNA from 1 species